AGAGGGGGCAAGCGUUAUUCGGAAUUAUUGGGCGUAAAGGGCGCGUAGGCGGCUUUGCAAGUGACGGGUGAAAGCCCUCGGCUUAACCGAGGAACUGCCUGUCAGACUGUGAGGCUUGAGACCGGGAGAGGUGAGUGGAAUUCCCAGUGUAGCGGUGAAAUGCGUAGAUAUUGGGAGGAACACCAGUGGCGAAGGCGGCUCACUGGACCGGAACUGACGCUGAUGCGCGAAAGCGUGGGGAGCAAACAGGAUUAGAUACCCUGGUAGUCCACGCCGUAAACGAUGAGUGCUUGGUGUAGCGGGUAUCGACCCCUGCUGUGCCGAAGUCAACACAUUAAGCACUCCGCCUGGGGAGUACGGUCGCAAGACUG
rnacentral:rRNA from 1 species